rnacentral:rRNA from 1 species
GAUGAACGCUGGCGGUGUGCCUAAUACAUGCAAGUCGAGCGAACAGACGAGGAGCUUGCUCCUCUGACGUUAGCGGCGGACGGGUGAGUAACACGUGGAUAACCUACCUAUAAGACUGGGAUAUCUUCGGGAAACCGGCGCUAAUACCGGAUAAUAUCUUGCACCGCAUGGUUCAAUAGUGAAAGACGGCUUUUCUGUCUCUUAUAGCUGCAUCCCCGCCGCAUUAGCUAGUUGGUAAGGUAACGGCUUACCAAGGCAACGAUGCGUAGCCGAACUGAGAGGGUGAUCGGCCACACUGGAGCUGAGACACGGUCCAGACUCCUACGGGAGGCAGCAGUAGGGAAUCUGCCGCAAUAGGCGAAAGCCUGACGGAGCAACGCCGCGUGAGUGAUGAAGGUCUUCGGAUCGUAAAACUCUGUUAUUGGGGAAGAACAAAUGUGUAAGUAACUAUGCACGUCUUGACGGUACCGAAUCAGAAAGCCACGGCUAACUACGUG